GCCUAAAGCGUCCGUAGCCGGCUUUGUAAGUUUUCGGUUAAAUCUAUAUGCUCAACAUAUAGGCUGCCGGAAAUACUGUAAAGCUAGGGAGUGGGAGAGGUAGACGGUACUCCGUAGGAAGGGGUAAAAUCCUUUGAUCUAUGGAUGACCACCAGUGGCGAAGGCGGUCUACCAGAACACGUUCGACGGUGAGGGAUGAAAGCUGGGGGAGCAAACCGGAUUAGAUACCCGGGUAGUCCCAGCUGUAAACUAUGCAAACUCAGUGAUGCAUUGGCUUGUGGCCAGUGCAGUGCCGCAGAGAAGUCGUUAAGUUUGCCGCCUGGGAAGUACGUACGCAAGUAUGAAACUUAAAGGAAUUGGCGGGGGAGCACCACAAGGGGUGAAGCCUGCGGUUCAAUUGGAGUCAACGCCAGAAAUCUUACCCGGAGAGACAGCAGGAUGAAGGUCAAGUUGAAGCCUUUACCAGACAAGCUGAGAAGUGGUGCAUGGCCGUCGCCAGCUCGUGCCGUGAGGUGUCCUGUUAAGUCAGGUAACGAGCGAGAUCCUUGCCUCUAGUUGCUACCAUUACUCUCAGGAGUAGUGGGGCGAAUUAGCGGGACUGCCGUAGUUAAUACGGAGGAAGGAGAGGGCCACGGCAGGUCAGUAUGCCCCGAA
rnacentral:rRNA from 1 species